UUGACCUGGAUAAGCCAAAUUAUUAUUAGAAAUUUUGAAAAACAGAAGCAGUCAUUUACUGCACACACUGUUGUAGCAGCAGUAACAUUUGGAUGAGAAAAGUGAUUGGUUUAGUUGAUAGCACCACCAAUUAAGAAGGCAGAAGCCAGAAAGUAAUAACAGUUUUAAAUAAAGCAAACACACAAUCACUACAGACAGCCAGAAUUAGCAAUGCCAACUCUACAUUAGAAGACAAAAUGAUUUUGUCAAAAGUGUCAAUCAAUGGGUUUCGGAAUAAGCAUACCCUUAUGUUCAUAUCUUUCCAUACUUGGACAAGUAAAGGCAAUUACCUGAUUGGAUUUACUU